rnacentral:rRNA from 1 species
UACGGAGGGUGCAAGCGUUAGUCGGAAUUACUGGGCGUAAAGGGUGCGUAGGCUGUGUUGUAAGUCAGAUGUGAAAAACCAAAGCUCAACUUUGGCAGUGCAUCUGAAACUGCAGCACUAGAGGGACAGCGGAGAAAACGGAAUUCCACGUGUAGCGGUGAAAUGCGUAGAUAUGUGGAAGAACACCUGUGGCGAAAGCGGUUUUCUAGCUUAAUCCUGACGCUGAGGCACGAAAGCAAGGGGAGCAAAC